CUCUCAACCCUAAAACUUUUUCCCCCAGUCCCCCGCAGCCACCUCCCCCAGCCCCUCAUCCCUACACUCCAUCGAUGCAGCCUCCUCCCAACCCUGCAACACAAACCUAGACUCCCCAAGCCCACAGUGUCUCCCUCCAUCCUCCCUCAUCAGCCGCCGCCGCUAUUCUGCCUCCCUCCUCUCUGUCCUAUGACGCUGGGAGGAAGCGGCCCUUCAUGGCUCCAUACCGCUGUCGGGGUGCCACAGAAGAGGUCAGGGGCCGCCGACGCCCGUUGGCGAGCCUUCGGGCAGGAAGCCGACGGCGAGGUCAGGGGCCGUCGACGCCCGUUGGCGAGCCUCCGGGCAGGAAGCCGACGGUGAGCACGCCGGACCUACCGGCCAGUCCCGUGUCGUCGAGCAAGGGCCGCCAGUUGCGUCGUCGUGGGAGGAGGCUCACCAAGAAGCGGCGGGGGAGGAGACGAUGACACGCCCCAGACUCCCUAUUUUCUUCGGGUCGCAUCUUCCGAGAGCCGUCUCUCUCUCUCUCGGGCAGCUUCCAUAUGGGAUUUGGAUGAGGAAAAGGAGACACGAUGCGGGGCGACGAUGACCGCUGGUGAGUUGGCUGGACGGGUGCCGGGCCCAUGGGCGCGGUUGGGGAGCUGCGCACACAUCCAUGGACAACGAGUACAUCAAACGCCAACACAUCGAAGUGAGCUUCAUCCAAUCUCUCUCUAUCGCUGUCUGUCUGUGGUGUGUGUGUGUGUGGUCACGGUGCAGUAUCGAGCGACAUGAGCGCAUCUGAUGCAGGGAAUAGGAAAGAGGCCGUGGACCUUUUUUUCCUAUUGGUGCCAUGAGAUUUGUGAUAGAUGCGUGGAUGGCCAGCAGAUUCAGGGUUGGAUUUCCCCUUUUUGAGAUGGGAAUACAGAAAUAUUUAGAGGGCAAUGGAAGCUUGCUAUAUUUUUUGAAAGCUAAAGGUUUGGCUAGCUCAUUGAAUGCUGGUGUUGGCACUGGAGGAGCACAACGAUCCUCGUAUGCCUCUAUCUUUUAGAUGUCUGUCUGCCUUUUCUGAUUUUGGACUUAAAAUUUUAUGCAGGUUCAUACGAUGCUUACCUUUCUUGUUCUAUCUGCAUAUAUUUGUUGGUUCAAACUCCUUUUCUCCUCGCAUCAAAGCACUUUAGUCUUUACAUCAUUUUUGCAGAACUGUUGUAAUUAACAACUACCGGCAAAUGCCUUCUACUAAGGAAUAUGUGCUUGUUUUGUAGUUGGCAUCAUUUUCUACCAUGAAGUUGGCUGCCAAACAUUGUUGAGACUAAUAUUCAUCGGGAAUAUUUUAAGUAGCAGCAAUUCGUCCAAUCUUUGGAUAAUUCUUGCAUUCACAUGUCUUACUAUUUACUUGCUAGACAAGCCCAAUAAUACAUUUUCUGACAUGCAAUGCUUUUGCAGCUCUUCGAGGUCUUUACGGCCAUGUACCAAUAUAUAAAUAAAUCUAUUUAAGUUUUCUCAGCUGCAAGAAUGGACAUUUAAGGAACUCCAGAACAUUGGGUACAUGGUAUUCAGAUUUGCAGAAGAGCAACCUCCAGAUGAUUAUGUAGUAGAUCUUGCAGGUCAUCAUCUUUUCGAUCUUGUUUCGCUUAACUUGUAUAUGAUGGAUGCGGGUCUUAAUUAAAUUCUACUUUGCAGAAAUAUGUUAUUCUGAAAAGCACAUAAUUUCUGGAGACUAUAUUUAUGAGAGAUGGGAGCGAGAGUUAGUCAAUCAUCUUCUCAUUGUUGGCUACAAAUUAUUCACUGAGACACUGGAAACACAUAUAUUAUGUUGAUUAAGUCAAGGUUAAUCCCUAUUUAAGGUAGAUGAGAAUGACAAAUUGGGAAACUACCGCACCUAUGAAUGUGUGAAUUUUCGACUGAAACUUGACAAUGACAAUUGUCAACUGAAACUUGACAAUUGUCACUAACUUCAUAGCUGCCGAUGACAAGUCAUGCAAAUAAUUUGUCAUAGUUCAUUUUUGGUUUUCAUUGUCAAAGUUUCUUCAGCUAUUCUCCUCUUGUGAUUAUAUGGAUGAUGGCGUGGCAUCUUCCUGUCAGUAUGCAUCUGAAUCGUAGUAUGAGUUGGAAACCCAACAUACCAGGAUAACUUUGUGUAUGAAUAUGAGCAUGAUUUGUACCUUAUUGUUAUUUUCUACAGAUGAAUAUGAGCAUGAUGUCAAGUGGAUCUUUGUACUUCUGAAUAUUCGUAACUACACGUUAUUAUGUGCUUAAUGACACAAAUGUUAAUGCACACUUUCUAUUCACAACCCAUAAAUUGGAACAUGAUGUAUUCAUUGGCUUCCUUUUUGUAUAAUGUCUGUCCAAACUAUUCCUGUACGUCAGUUUUGGUAUCCUUAGACAUGGUCUGAAACUCUAAAUGGAUUCUUGUGCUUGAGUUAGCUCAGAGUUGGAAACCCAACAUACCAGGAUAACUUUGUGUAUGAAUACGAGCAUGAUUUGUACCUUAUUGUUAUUUUCUACAGAUGAAUAUGAGCAUGAUGUCAAGUGGAUCUUUGUACUUCUGAAUAUUCGUAACUACACGUUAUUAUGUGCUUAAUGACACAAAUAUUAAUGCGUACUUUCUAUUCACAACCCAUAAAUUGGAACAUGAUGUAUUCAUUGGCUUCCUUUUUGUAUAAUGUCUAUCCAAACUAUUCCUUUACGUCAGUUUUGGUAUCCUUAGACAUGGUCUGAAACUCUAAAUGGAUUCUUGUGCUUGAGUUAGCUCAGGGCUUUCAUAUAUGCACUUGUAUUUCGGUUUCAGUGUGAUGCAUGCUUAUUGCCGAUGGACCUCCCAUUGUUUAUGUCCUACCAGUAUAGCCACGCUCCCUAUCAUCUUAUCUGUUGAAAGUGCCUCCCCAUGGUGUUGUUUGUCAAAAGCUUUCUUCCUCUUUCUCUGGAAAUUACAGGAGUUGUUGUGCAGAAGUACGUGGUAAUUCCUUUGAGAUGUUUAGUUUUGUAACAUAGUUCUGACCUGAACUCUGCUGAGCAACAAAAUAUAUUCAUCAUUACUAUUACGAUACACUAACAAUUUUUUAGGGUCUGAGGAUGCUUUGGCCUAAUGAAGGGUAUGAAGAGAACUGCCUCUGCCUUAGUUCAUGAGAGCAAGGUAGGCAACAAGGAGGAGGGUCCGGCGGAAGUCAAGAAACAAGAGAACACUGACCUGGAGAAACUCUAUGUAGCAGGCCUUUGUCGGAGAGAUGGCCGAACUACAACUGUCAAGUUCCUCCGGUGUACACGCUUCAUUGGCUUCUUUAUCCUUACAUGUGGAAAUUUGGCUUUUCAGUUUUGCAUCGACUGUGGAAACAUCCUGACACUAUCCAGUUGUGGUGCUAGCUUUGGGGUGAAUGUGCUUCCUUUCAUGUGUGUUAGGCAGCAGCAGGAGGCUGGAUGGGAUCUUCUGCUAUGAUGAGCGUUUGCUUCUGUCAGUACGAAAUACUUCUAAAACAACAGCUUCAUUUUUUGGUCUGGUGUACUCUCUCUGUAAAGACGUUUUUGGGGUUCAAAUUGCAAACCAAAAAUGUCUUAUAUAAAUGUAGAGAAGCUCCAAUAUUGUUGGCAAUAGACGCUAGAGAAAGUAGGGAUUGGGUUGUAAGCGAGGCGUUUUGGAGCUUAGCCACCAUGGAGGCCGAAGUUUU